AGAUCGAACUAUAGAGUUUGAUCCUGGCUCAGAUUGAACGCUGGCGGCAUGCCUUACACAUGCAAGUCGAACGGCAGCACGGGAGCAAUCCUGGUGGCGAGUGGCGAACGGGUGAGUAAUAUAUCGGAACGUGCCCAGU
rnacentral:rRNA from 1 species